AGUGUCGUAAGGGUGCGUAACACGUAUGCAAUCUGCCCUGUACAGGAGGAUAGCUCGGGGAAACCCGGAUUAACCCUCCAUAAGAUCACACGAGGGCAUCUGAGAGUGAUUAAAACUGAGGUGGUACAGGAUGAGCAUGCGUCUGAUUAGCUAGUUGGUAGGGUAACGGCCUACCAAGGCAAUGAUCAGUAGGGGAACUGAGAGGUUAAUCCCCCACACUGGCACUGAGAUACGGGCCAGACUCCUACGGGAGGCAGCAGUAGGGAAUAUUGGUCAAUGGGUGAGAGCCUGAACCAGCCAUGCCGCGUGCAGGAAGAAGGCCUUCUGGGUUGUAAACUGCUUUUGCCAGGGGCUAAAAAGCUCAUGCGUGAGAAAUUGAAAGUACCUGGUGAAUAAGCCACGGCUAACUACGUGCCAGCAGCCGCGGUAAUACGUAGGUGGCAAGCGUUGUCCGGAUUUAUUGGGUUUAAAGGGUGCGUAGGCGGUCCAUUAAGUCAGUUGUGAAAUACGGCAGCUUAACUGUCGAGGUGCAAUUGAUACUGGAGGACUUGAGUACAGACGAGGUAGGCGGAAUUGACGGUGUAGCGGUGAAAUGCUUAGAUAUCGUCAAGAACACCGAUAGCGAAGGCAGCUUACUAGAGUGUAACUGACGCUGAGGCACGAAAGUGUGGGGAUCAAACAGGAUUAGAUACCCUGAUAGUCCACACUGU
rnacentral:rRNA from 1 species